rnacentral:rRNA from 1 species
GAGUUUUGAUCCUGGCUCAGAACGAACGCUGGCGGCAUGGAUUAGGCAUGCAAGUCGAACGGGAUUCACACUUCUAUCUUAUCUUCGGAUUUGAUUGUGUGAUGAGAGUGGCGAAAGGGUGAGUAACGCGUGAGUAACCUACCCCCAAGUUGGGAAUAACUCUCCGAAAGGAGAGCUAAUACCGAAUGUGGUCUCCGGGCGCAUGAACGGAUGACUAAAGAUUUAUCGCUUGGGGAUGGGCUCGCGUCCCAUUAGCUUGUUGGUGAGGUAACGGCCCACCAAGGCAACGAUGGGUAGGUGGUCUGAGAGGAUGGUCACCCACACUGGGACUGAGACACUGCCCAGACUCCUACGGGAGGCUGCAGUCGAGAAUCUUCCGCAAUGCGCGAAAGCGUGACGGAGCAAUGCCGCGUGCAGGAUGAAUGCCCUAGGGUUGUAAACUGCUGUCACCGGGGACGAAGAUCUGACGGUACCCGGAGAGGAAGCCACGGCUAACUACGUGCCAGCAGCCGCGGUAAUACGUAGGUGGCGAGCGUUGUUCGGAUUUAUUGGGCGUAAAGGGUCCGCAGGGGGCAGGCUAAGUCUGAUGUGAAAGCCUACGGCUCAACCGUAGAAUUGCAUUGGAUACUGGCUUGCUAGAGUACCGGAGAGGAGAGCGGAAUUCCAGGUGUAGCGGUGGAAUGCGUAGAUAUCUGGAAGAACAUCGAAAGCGAAGGCAGCUCUCUGGACGGUUACUGACCCUCAGGGACGAAAGCGUGGGUAGCAAACAGGAUUAGAUACCCUGGUAGUCCACGCCGUAAACGUUGUGUACUUGAUGUGGGAGGAUUUAGCCCCUUCCGUGUCGGAGCUAACGCGUUAAGUACAUCGCCUGGGGACUACGGCCGCAAGGCUAAAACUCAAAGGAAUUGACGGGGGCCCGCACAAGCGGUGGAGCAUGUGGCUUAAUUCGAGGCAACGCGAAGAACCUUACCUGGACUUGACAUAUACCGGACAGUCCGUGAAAGCGGAUCUCUCUUCGGAGUCGGUAUACAGGUGCUGCAUGGCUGUCGUCAGCUCGUGCCGUGAGGUGUUCGGUUAAGUCCGGCAACGAGCGCAACCCGUGUCGUUAGUUGCUACCAGGUUAUGCUGGGCACUCUAACGAGACUGCCCGUGUUAAGCGGGAGGAAGGCGCGGAUGACGUCAAGUCCGUAUGGCCCUUAUGUCCAGGGCUGCACACGUGCUACAAUGACCGGUACAAUGGGACGCAAUACCGCGAGGUGGAGCUAAUCCUGAAAACCGGCCCUAGUUCGGAUUGGAGUCUGCAACUCGACUCCAUGAAGUCGGAAUCGCUAGUAAGGGCGUAUCAGCUACGACGCCUUGAAUACGUUCCCGGGCCUUGUACACACCGCCCGUCACAUCAUGGAAGCUGGCUGCACCCGAAGUCGUUGACCCAAUCCCGCCUCGGCGGGAAGGGAGAUGCCGAAGGUGUGGUUAGUGACUGGGAUGAAGUCGUAACAAGGUA